GACGAACGCUGGCGGCGUGCUUAACACAUGCAAGUCGAACGGAAAGGCCCUGCUCUUGUGGGGUGCUCGAGUGGCGAACGGGUGAGUAACACGUGAGUAACCUGCCCUUGACUUUGGGAUAACUUCAGGAAACUGGGGCUAAUACCGGAUAGGAGCUCCUGCUGCAUGGUGGGGGUUGGAAAGUUUCGGCGGUUGGGGAUGGACUCGCGGCUUAUCAGCUUGUUGGUGGGGUAGUGGCUUACCAAGGCUUUGACGGGUAGCCGGCCUGAGAGGGUGACCGGCCACAUUGGGACUGAGGUACGGCCCAGACUCCUACGGGAGGCAGCAGGGGGGAAUAUUGCACAAUGGGCGGAAGCCUGAGGCAGCAACGCCGCGUGCGGGAUGACGGCCUUCGGGUUGUAAACCGCUUUCGCCUGUGACGAAGCGUGAGUGACGGUAAUGGGUAAAGAAGCACCGGCUAACUACGUG
rnacentral:rRNA from 1 species